GAAGGCAAUUACAAGGGUCCCAGAGUCGGUUGUUGUGACUUGUGAUUGUGUUUCCUUCUCAGAGGGCCUUAGUGUCUCUGCUCAGUGGGGUGUGAUAGGUUCCCAGUUUUAUGUAGCACCAUGUAUAUAUAUUUUACAUGUAGUGUAUUGUGUCUCCUGUUCUACUGCUACUAUGUCUGUAAUUUGUAUGUCUCUGUAAAACACCUCUGUAGUGUCUGCAGCAAGGAUGUCACACAUCCUUGCUGAAUGGCUCUGCCAAGGUUCCAUUUGUCUCCGGCCCACCACUUAACUCAAUCCUUUGAUAUGUAUGACCAUGGACUGUAUAUCAAUACACUACACAACUUGAUUCUUGAGAGAUUCUCUCGGUACAGACAGCCCGAAUGUCCUGAGUUUGUCUCUCCCUUGCGCAUUGAAUUAAACAUCAAUUCUCUUAAGAGAAGUCGUCGGCGUGUUCUUCAUCGUCCUGCAUUGAGUUCCACGGAGACGGGCAAAAUAUCCUAACAGGUGGAACACAACUUCAACAGCAGGGAGGCCCAGCUUCUGCUUAGCAUCUUAGGAGUGCUCACAGGCCAGCUGGACCCCUCAUCUCCACAGUUUGUUCAGGAGAUCACAUGGACUGUUAAAAUCACCAAGGAGACUGCAUUGACUGCUGGUUCUGGCCCAGGUGGGUGGGAUCCUGGAUGAAGUUGACUGGGUGAUUGCCAAGAACAAGUGCCAGCAGA